rnacentral:tRNA from 1 species
GAAUAUGAAGCAAUUUAUGCAAUUAGUUUCGACCUAAUAGAUUGGUAUUAAAUUACCCUUAUCCUUAUUCU